GUCAUCGCUGUUUGCAAACACCAAAUUGGUCUAUACUUAAUGUGUUGCCAUAAGGCGCAAAUGCAAGUGUUGCGCAUGCUCACUGAAGUCUGAGUUCAAAAAAACAACAACUGAAGGCGCAAUGGCGAUCUACUGUCUGACUCAGCGAAAAGGAGGAUUUGGAUGAAGAGAUGUGGAUGUUUUACAAGAAACCUCAUCAGUGGGACAAUAACUCAAUUAUGAUAUGUGAGUUUUGUGGAAACAUAAAGUGUGUGGAAGAAGCAUCACAGAAGAAUCCAGUAUGUUUAAGUAACUGAAACAUUCUAAGAUUAAACUUGGACAUUUUGAGGAGAGAUUCAGUCAACCUGUUCACAGUAAAUUAAAUAAAAGUGGAAUUAAUGCGGAUAACGACUGUGCCACUUCUGUCAACGUUCAUAGCAGCUGGACAGAUACACUGUUGAUCAAAUUAAAGUUUUCAGUAGCAAAGGAGCUUCUGGACAAAAGAUAUCACACACAUUGCAGUUGCAGACAAGUGCGAAGAUAUACACUUCAAAUGAGACUGUGUCAUAAAGAGUCUGUGUGGUGACAUUACAACACUUCCAGUUUUCCAGAAUUCUUCCAGAAUUCCAGGACUGCAAUCCUGAAGGAACUGAGGGAGGAAUUUCUGAGACCACUCUGGGCCCUUUUGUGACCCUUAAAGAAAGCGCUGAGGAUGAGCCAGUGGAUGUUGGCGUAGCAACAGAGGGUUUAAAACUACUACAACACUUAGGAGUUUUUCCUUUGGAUGCUGUUUGCUGUUUGGAUUGAUCUACGCAAUCAAGCUAUGCUCCGAGUCUCAAAUUCACUUUUGAAUUCUUCCAGAAGGUACUGAUGAAUUUAGAUUUUAGGACAUCACAUAGAUGUUUCGAUCCACUGGAAGGACUUAGAAACUUUGAAACCUAAAAAACAUUGAAUUGAAGACUAUGAUCGAUGACACUAUGAACCAAUGACACUAACUCAAAUCAAGAGACUACAUCUAAUGCACCUUAUGGCUUCCUCUAACUCUGAUAUUUUUAAAGGGUUAGUUCACCUAAAAAUGAAAUUUCUGUCAUUAAUUACUCACCCUCAUGUCGUUCCACACCCGUAAGACCUUCAUUCAUCUUCAGAACACAAAUUAAGAUAUU